rnacentral:misc_RNA from 1 species
UCCUGGUUAACCCAGGCAGUCUCACUAGAGUUCCCACCAUUACGUGUUGGCAACUAGGGAUAAGGGUUGCGCUCGUUGCGGGACUUAACCCAACACCUCACGGCACGAGCUGACGACAGCCAUGCAGCACCUGUGCAGCGGCCCUUGCGGGAGAUCACAUUUCUGUGACUGUCCACUGCAUGUCAAAUCUGGGUAAGGUUCUUCGCGUUGCAUCGAAUUAAACCACAUGCUCCACUGCUUGUGCGGGUCCCCGUCAAUUCUUUUGAGUUUCACCCUUGCGAGUGUACUCCCCAGGCGGUAUACUUAACGCGUUAGCUACGGCACAACCGGGGUUGAGUCCAGUUACACCAAGUAUACAUAGUUUACGGCAAGGACUAC